AGACAGUUCGGUCCCUAUCUGCCAUGGGCGUUGGAUGUCUGAGGGGGUCUUGCUUUAGUACGAGAGGACCGAGCAGGACGGACCUCUGGUGCACCGGUUGUCGCGCCAGCGGCAGGCGCCGGGUAGCCACGUCCGGGAGGGAUAACCUCUGAAAGCAUCUAAGCGGGAAGCCCGCCCCGAGAUUAGACAUCCCAUGUCUCUAGAAGACACUGAAGGAACCAGGUAGACCACCUGGUCGAUAGGCCGGCGGUGCAAGCGCGGCGACGCGUUCAGCCGACCGGUACUAAUGAGCCGUGAGGCUUGACCAU
rnacentral:rRNA from 1 species